rnacentral:rRNA from 1 species
CUGCGGAUGAUCAUUACCGAGUUGAUUCGGGCUCCGGCCCGAUCCUCCCACCCUUUGUGUACCUACCUCUGUUGCUUUGGCGGGCCGCGGUCCUCCGCGGCCGCCCCCCUCCCCGGGGGGUGGCCGGCGCCCGCCAGAGGACCAUCAAACUCCAGUCAGUGAACGAUGCAGUCUGAAAAACAUUCAAUAAACUAAAACUUUCAACAACGGAUCUCUUGGUUCUGGCAUCGAUGAAGAACGCAGCGAAAUGCGAUAAGUAAUGUGAAUUGCAGAAUUCAGUGAAUCAUCGAAUCUUUGAACGCACAUUGCGCCCUUUGGUAUUCCGAAGGGCAUGCCUGUUCGAGCGUCAUUACAACCCUCAAGCUCUGCUUGGUAUUGGGCACCGUCCUCUGCGGGCGCGCCUCAAAGACCUCGGCGGUGGCGUCUUGCCUCAAGCGUAGUAGAACAUUACAUCUCGCUUCGGAGCGCAGGGCGUCGCCCGCCGGACGAACCUUCUGAACUUUUCUCAAGGUUGACCUCGGAUCAGGUAGGGAUACCCGCUGAACUUAAGCAUAUCAU